GUGGGGAAUAUUGGACAAUGGGCGAAAGCCUGAUCCAGCCAUGCCGCGUGUGUGAAGAAGGUCUUCGGAUUGUAAAGCACUUUAAGUUGGGAGGAAGGGCAGUAAGUUAAUACCUUGCUGUUUUGACGUUACCGACAGAAUAAGCACCGGCUAACUCUGUGCCAGCAGCCGCGGUAAUACAGAGGGUGCAAGCGUUAAUCGGAAUUACUGGGCGUAAAGCGCGCGUAGGUGGUUCGUUAAGUUGGAUGUGAAAGCACCGGGCUCAACCUGGGAACUGGAUCCAAAACUGGCGAGCUAGAGUACGGUAGAGGGUGGUGGAAUUUCCUGUGUAGCGGUGAAAUGCGUAGAUAUAGGAAGGAACACCAGUGGCGAAGGCGACCACCUGGACUGAUACUGACACUGAGGUGCGAAAGCGUGGGGAGCAAACAGGAUUAGAAACCCGGGUAGUCC
rnacentral:rRNA from 1 species